rnacentral:rRNA from 1 species
AGUGAACGCUGGCGGCAGGCCUAAUACAUGCAAGUCGAACGGCCAGACAGUGAGAGUUCGCCUCUACCGGUGGCGAGUUACGGACGGGUGAGGAAUACAUCGGCAUCCUCUUUUACGUGGGUGACAACGUAGGGAAACUGACACUAACACCGCAUAUGUUCAACGGCAGAAUUCAGGAGUUCAUCGCAGCUUUCGCGAUAGUUUGAGCUGAUUUCGGGUCGCAUUAGCUAGUUGGUAAGGUAACGGCUUACCAAGGCAACGAUGCGUAGCUGACCUGAGAGGAUGAUCGGCCACACUGGAACUGAGACACGGUCCAGACUCCUACGGGAGGCAGCAGUAGGGAAUAUUGCACAAUGGGCGAAAGCCUGACCGAGCAACGCCGCGUGAGUGAAGAAGGUCUUCGGAUUGUAAAGCUCUUUUAUUAGGGAAGAACAGAUGUGGAAGUAUCCCUGCCUGUUUUGACGGUACCCAAUCAGAAAGCCACGGCUAACUACGUG